UACGAAGGGGGCUAGCGUUGUUCGGAAUUACUGGGCGUAAAGCGCACGUAGGCGGACUCUUAAGUCGGUGGUGAAAUCCUGGAGCUCAACUCCAGAACUGCCUUCGAUACUGGGAGUCUCGAGUUCGGGAGAGGUGAGUGGAACUGCGAGUGUAGAGGUGAAAUUCGUAGAUAUUCGCAAGAACACCAGUGGCGAAGGCGGCUCACUGGCCCGAUACUGACGCUGAGGUGCGAAAAGCGUGGGGAGCAAACAGG
rnacentral:rRNA from 1 species